UACGAAGGGAGCUAGCGUUGUUCGGAAUCACUGGGCGUAAAGCGCACGUAGGCGGCUUUUUAAGUCAGGGGUGAAAUCCUGGAGCUCAACUCCAGAACUGCCUUUGAUACUGAGAAGCUUGAGUCCGGAAGAGGAGAGUGGAAUUCCUGGUGUAGCGGUGAAAUGCGCAGGAUAUCAGGAAGAACACCCGUGGCUAAGGCGGCUCUCUAGUACGGUACUGACGCUGAGACGCGAAAGCGUGGGGAGCGAACAGG
rnacentral:rRNA from 1 species